CCGCAAUUCAACAGUGUUUACGUCGGAAGGAUCGUCGUGCAGUCGAUGCCGCGACCUGACAUGAAGGAGCGUUUGCCGACUACGCCUAGAAAGGGAUGUCAAGAUUUCGUGAACCAGAGGCAUCUCUACACCGCAUAGGAACCUAAGACAUUUCUGCAGCCGGAACAGCACGGCAAAGCAUCUGAUCUGCAUGCUGCGACAAGGUAUGGCUGGGCCUGGUGAUGAAGUGUAAGCAGAACAUGCUAUGCUGCGAAUUGGUGCCAAUCUUCACAUCCGAGUUGUUCCCACGACAGUCAAGCACCACUGUGAUUUGCUUCAUUGGCAAGGUAAUAUACUAUGGUGAGCUUGCACCUCAAUAUUGGUAUUGAAAAAUAUGUCAAGUAAAAGACACAAGAGUUGGCCUUUAUGACAGAUACACUCGUGUUCUUUUUUUAAAGAGCUCUUUUAGCACUGUUCUUUAUGGGCAUGUUUUCAGAGGAUGCUUAUACUCCUUUAUUACAAACUGCCA